CAUCAUACUGUGAACUGCGAAUGGCUCAUUAAAUCAGUUAUCGUUUAUUUGAUAGUACCUUUACCUGGAUAACCGUGGUAAUUCUAGAGCUAAUACAUGCUAACAACCCCGACUUCGGGAGGGGUGUAUUUAUUAGAUAAAAAACCAAUGCCCUUCGGGGCUCCUUGGUGAUUCAUAAUAACUUAACGAAUCGCAUGGCCUUGCGCCGGCGAUGGUUCAUUCAAAUUUCUGCCCUAUCACCUUUCGAUUGUAAGAUAGAGGCUUACAAUGGGAGCAACGGGUAACGGGGAAUAAGGGUUCUAUUCCGGAGAGGGAGCCUGAGAAACGGCUACCACAUCCAAGGAAGGCAGCAGGCGCGCAAAUUACCCAAUCCCGAUACGGGGAGGUAGUGACAAUAAAUACUGAUACGGGGCUCUUUCGGGUCUCGUAAUUGGAAUGAGUACAAUCUAAAUCCCUUAACGAGGAACAAUUGGAGGGCAAGUCUGGUGCCAGCAGCCGCGGUAAUUCCAGCUCCAAUAGCGUAUAUUAAAGUUGUUGCCGUUAAAAAGCUCGUAGUUGAACCUUGGCCCUGGCUGAUCUGUCCUCCUAAUCGAGCGCACGGAUUCGGUCGGGGCUUUCCUUCUGGGGAGCCCCAUGCCCUUCACUGGGUGUGGCGGGGAACCAGGACUUUUACCUUGAAAAAAUUAGAGUGUUCAAAGCAGGCCUUUGCUCGAAUACAUUAGCAUGGAAUAAUAGAAUAGGACAUCGGUUCUAUUUUGUUGGUUUCUAGGACCGCUGUAAUGAUUAAUAGGGACAGUCGGGGGCGUCAGUAUUCAAUUGUCAGAGGUGAAAUUCUUGGAUUUAUUGAAGACUAACUACUGCGAAAGCAUUCGCCAAGGAUGUUUUCAUUAAUCAGUGAACGAAAGUUAGGGGAUCGAAGACGAUCAGAUACCGUCGUAGUCUUAACCAUAAACUAUGCCGACUAGGGAUCGGACGGUGGUUUUUUUAUGCCCCGUUCGGCACCUUACGAGAAAUCAAAGUUUGG
rnacentral:rRNA from 1 species